GGAGGAGGACGCCGAAGGUGGGGCUAAUGACUGGGGUGAAGUCGUAACAAGGUAGCCGUACCGGAAGGUGCGGCUGGAUCACCUCCUAACAGGGAGACAACAAAAUGUAAAUAUUAAUUUUGUCACCUUAGGUCGAUCGGUAUCUCAGAUUCUUAAUUAUGAGAAUUUCAGUUUCUAAGUUUUUUCUAGGUCACACCCAUCACUUUUUCCUGGGCCAUUAGCUCAGGUGGUUAGAGCGCACCCCUGAUAAGGGUGAGGUCCCUGGUUCAAGUCCAGGAUGGCCCAUAUCUCUAUGUUGGGGGUAUAGCUCAGUUGGUAGAGCGCCUGCUUUGCAAGCAGGAUGUCAGCGGUUCGAGUCCGCUUACCUCCACUGAAUACCACCUCUUACAUAUAUUUAAAGAGGGAAAAUGUUUUGAGUCGUGUCCCAAUUUGCUCUGAGCGAAUCUAGCUUCCUAUUUUUUUUCAAUAAAUAAGAUGCUGGACUCAUUGAAUUUUUUUCAUUGCUUUCCAGAGAACCUUGACAACUGCAUAGAUUAUUUUUGAAGACAAUAAGCAUCUUUAUUGAUGCAGAUUUAUUAUUUGUGCUAAUGCAUUAAAUAACAAUUCUAUUAAGCUGAUGCUUCAAUUUUUGAAGUUAUUGGUCAAGCUACAAAGGGCUCACGGAGGAUACCU
rnacentral:misc_RNA from 1 species